rnacentral:rRNA from 1 species
CCUACGGGAGGCAGCAGUGGGGAAUAUUGCGCAAUGGGCGAAAGCCUGACGCAGCGACGCCGCGUGAGGGAUGAAGGUCUUCGGAUCGUAAACCUCUGUCAGCAGGGAAGAACGGUCACUGUGCUAAUCAGCAGUGAAUUGACGGUACCUGCAAAGGAAGCACCGGCUAACUCCGUGCCAGCAGCCGAGGUAAUACGGGGGGUGCGAGCGUUAAUCGGAAUUACUGGGAGUAAAGCGCUCGUAGGCGGUAUGUCAAGUCAAGGGUGAAAUCCCCGCGCUCAACCUGGGAACUGCCUUUGAAACUGGCAAACUGGAGUGUGUGAGAGGAUAGUGGAAUUCCAGGUGUAGGAGUGAAAUGCGUAGAUAUCAGGAGGAACAUCAGUGGCGAAGGCGACUAUCUGGCACAUAACUGACGCUGAGGAGCGAAAGCGUGGGUAGCAAACAGGAUUAGAUACCCGUGUAGUC